rnacentral:rRNA from 1 species
UACGUAGGGGGCAAGCGUUGUCCGGAUUUAUUGGGCGUAAAGAGCGUGUAGGCGGCCAGGUAGGUCUGCUGUGAAAACUCGAGGCUUAACCUCGAGCUGUCGGCGGAAACCAUCUGGCUAGAGUCCGGAAGAGGAGAAUGGAAUUCCCGGUGUAGCGGUGAAAUGCGCAGAUAUCGGGAAGAACACCCGUGGCGAAGGCGGUUCUCUGGG